UACAGAGGGUGCAAGCGUUAAUCGGAAUUACUGGGCGUAAAGCGUGCGUAGACGGUCAUGUAAGUCGGGUGUGAAAGCCCCCGGGCUCAACCUGGGGAAUUGCAUUCGAGACUGCAUGGCUAGGAUGCGGAAGAGGGAAGCGGAAUUUCCGGUGUAGCGGUGAAAUGCGUAGAUAUCGGGGAGGAACACCGGUGGCGAAGGCGGUUCUCUGGGAAUAUCCUGACGCUGAGGAGCGAAAGUGGUGGGGAGCGAACAGG
rnacentral:rRNA from 1 species